rnacentral:rRNA from 1 species
AGGCAGCAGUGGGGAAUAUUGGACAAUGGGGGCAACCCUGAUCCAGCAAUGCCGCGUGUGUGAAGAAGGCCUGCGGGUUGUAAAGCACUUUUGUUGAGG